UUCAUUUUAUUUGCCAUAUUCACAUUUCGUUAUCUUCUGUACCUCUUACUUCUCGUUUCUUCCGCAAAACCACUCCCACCACCAUCGAUCCACCACCACUCCACCAUCAUCGAUCCACCACCACCCCACCAUCACCGGCGAAAAAGGAUGUCGAUUUCUUCAUUCUACUUCUCAUUUCAUUUUCUUCCACAGAACCACUCCCACUCCCACCAUCACCGAUAAAUCUUUUAUCUCUACUUCUCAUUUCAUUUUCUUCCACAGAACCACCCCACCACCAUCGAUCCCCCCACCCACACCAUUUUUGAUAGAACAUCUUUGUUAAAGCUGAAGAAGGUUGGAGGUACUAUGUGCAUUCUUACAGGCAUAAGUGAAACAGUCGAGAGUAUUGAAACUUAGCGAUGGCAACGAGGAAGUUAAGCUGAGCAAGACUGCUAGACAAGCGUUGAGGAAGCAACAACAGAUUGUCUCUAAUUGUAUGUGUGAUAUCUGUCAACAGAAAAUACUUCCAGGAAAGGAUGUCUCUACCCUUUUGAAUAUGAUGUGUCUUGCUUGUAGCAGCAGAAAUCGUAAUGGGACUAAUUGUAAGGAGUAUAGCUCAGUAUCUUUGUGCUUCCAUAAACCAACAUGGCAGUAGGAAGUCAAGGAGUCACAAACGGGUCGCAGGGAGAUGGCAGAGACAAAGUGGUUGAGUUAAGCAUUGUUCCCAAAACACCCUUAUCUUCUGUAUUCUGCACUGAGUGCCAGGGUCGUGGCAUAAAUGUUGAAGAGAACUUAGAGAAUCCAAGUGUCUUUUUUUCUGAGGUCACUGAAUUCUGUUAUGCUGAAUCAGAACAAUACCUUGCUUACACCGUGCAGCUAGAGAAUGGAGAGAUUAAGGUUAGUUCACCUCUUAAUCAAAAACCUUGUGAAAUCAUCUAGUUUGAUAUAAUGACAUCAGUGCCUUGAGUUCCUCCAGUAGUAUUUUUCUUAUCAUCGCAGAAAAAACUUAAGCAUGAGUGGUAAUGGGUUGCUUCCCUCACUAGAUCCUUGUUAACUUCGAUUUGAGUAGGAAGCUCACCCAUUCUUGCCAACCUUCUUUUCCCUAUAUGCUUCAACUUAUAGUUUAUUCCACCGUGAACCUUUAACACCUCAACCAUGCAUAGUUGUAAUGUGAGGAAUACUGCAUUUAAAGAUUGUGAUGAUAGUUUUUCGAAUGCUGUGUUCACUGCCAAGAGGAGCUCACCAACAGUGGUAGGGGCCUCUUCGUGUUGUAACGAUUGGAUCGCCCUAAAGAACCCGAGAUCCAACAUGUUCAUGUCUGGACUUCGUUGGUGAAAUUCUUGUCGAAAGAAGCAAUCCAUAGAAAGAUUUGGCGCCGCUCACUAAUAUUCCUGGUGGAGAAACUUGUUCCGAUGUCCAUGAGUGAAGGCUCUGCAAAUUCUGCAAUAUCAAAACGUGUUUAGGUUCUCAGUGACAAUCCAAACAACAAUACACACAAUGCUUAUUCUCCAGAAAAUGGUAUAAGACUCGCAUCUCACACACUUCACUGUGUCUCAACUACUGUAGCUGAGAAGGUAUACUUCUAAUGUCUCAUAUCUGAGAGUGUACUAUAUAUACUCAACAAUGAAGUGCAGGAAACAUAAACGACAGCAAAAAUAUUUUAUCGAUUAGGCAAAGCUUAUAUGCUUGUGACUCUAGCUGACCUGCUUAUUUAUUGUUAGUGGUAAAGCCAUGGGUACUAGUGUCUGUUAAUGAAUAUCAGCUCGCCCAUGGACACUACCAGACUUAUGUCCAAAUGUUGAAGCCUUGAUUAAAGAUACACUUGUUCAUUUUCUGGACUGAUGGUACUGCUGCUGCAUCUACUCAAGGCUCCUAUUUCAUGACUGUCAAGUUCAGGUAACUCUUUCAUAUGCCGAUUAAACAUUGUUAUAAUGUCGAUUAAUCUAUGAACUGAGAUAAACAUUCUUAUAAUGUCGAUUAAUCCAGGAACUGAGAUAGGAAUUCUUAAUUAUAAUGUCUAACAUUAGUAUCGUUUUGCAAGUUCAAUUAGCGGAAAUAAUGACAUGAAAAAGAUACUCCGUGGAUGCCUGGACUGGAGUAAUCCGAAGAGUUGGAACUAGCUCCAUAAAGGGACUAUCUAUGGCAUACUCAGCUGCAGAUAAAAUUGCAAGUGGUUUUGUGUUAUCUAGGAGUUGUCAUUCCUUUUAAGUUUCAGAAUCAGCACAUCUAUUGUGUCAAUGGUACUGGUAAGUUGAUAAAUGAAAUUUUAAAUAUGGCAGAUCCCUGGAAAUGGUACUCUAGACUAAGAGGCAAAUCUGAAAUUAGACUCUAGAAUCAAUUUAUUAUCAACAAUGAAAGUGCAGGAUAUACAGUAAUUUCAAAUACACAGUAAACUUCAAUUAAUGAUUCAACUAGGAGUAUUUUAGAGGAACUGAUAUUUUUACCUUGGAACUUGUGGUGUUGAUUUAAAUUUCAAGCUGAUUUUUCCUUUGAGAAUCUUAGAUCCGUAUUGAUUUUGUUGUAGUUUGAAAUUUCUUUUCCAGUUGAUCUCAGAUAUUGAUAUUCAAGAUGCAAAUUAAGGUAGGGGUUACAGCAAGUUGAGGAGUGAAGAGACAAACUCUGUGAUUCUUAGAUUGAAGAUAAGAUAAUCUGUGAUCAAUUUGAUUUUGAUUGAAAGUGAAGAUCAAAUCAUGGUAGUGAUUAUAACAAAUUGAGGAGUAAAGAGAAGAUUCUGUGAUUCUCAGAAGAUGAUGAAGAUAAUGUGAUUCUCAGAAGAUGAUGAAGAUCUCCUGUACCUGUUCUGAUUGAAUUUGUUUCUGUUUUGAUUGGAUUUGUUUCAGUUUUGAUCGAAUUUGUUUCUGAGUGAACCUCUAACUUGAUGAAUUUUUGAACUUACAUAUCUGUAAAUGGAGAUGGAGGGAAGUGUUUGAAAAUAGUCGAAGUUUUCAAAAUUUGAAUAAAACAGGUCGAAGAAGAAACUAGUCGAAGGAAGAAGAUAAUUAUGGUAUUAAAUGUUUUGUUGUGGGUAA